UUUAGUUGCCAGCAUUGAGUUUGGAACCCUGAACAGACUGUCGGUGAUAAGCCAGAGGAAGGUGAGGAUGACGUCAAGUCAUCAUGUCCCUUAUGCCCUGGGCAACACAAGUGCUACAAUGACCGGGACAAAGGGUUUCAACCCCGCGAGGGCAAGAUAACCUCAAAAACCUGGCCUUGGUUCGGAUUGUAGGCUGGAACUCGCCUGCAUGAAGCCGAAAUUGCUAGUAAUCACCGGUCAGCCAUACGACGGUGAAUCCGUUCCCGGGCCUUGUACACACUGCUUGUCACACUAUGGGAGUUGGCCAUGCCCCAAGUCAUUACCUUAACCACAAGGAGGGGGAUGUCGAAGGCUGGGCUAGUGACUGGAGUGAAGUCGUAACAAGGUAGCCGUACUGGAAGGUGCAGCUGGAUCACCUCCUUU
rnacentral:ncRNA from 1 species